UGAAUACGAGACGCUAAGGCGUUGAAGUAGUGUAUGUCAUACUUCCAAGAAAAGCUUGCACUGUCAUAGAUAAAAAACGCCUGUACCAUAACCGACACAGGUGGGUAGGUAGAGUAUACUAAGGGGCGCGAGAUAACUCUCUCUAAGGAACUCGGCAAAAUAACUCCGUAACUUCGGGAGAAGGAGUGCCUUAUUUAUAAGGCUGCAAUAACAAGAUCCAAGCAACUGUUUAUCAAAAACACAGGUCUCCGCUAAGUCGUAAGACGAUGUAUGGGGGCUGACGCCUGCCCAGUGCCAGAAGGUUAAAGAAGUUGGUUAGCAAUAGCGAAGCUGAUAACUGAAGCCCUGGUGAACGGCGGCCGUAACGAUAACGGUCCUAAGGUAGCGAAAUUCCUUGUCGGGUAAGUUCCGACCCGCACGAAAGGCGUAAUGAUUUGGAUACUGUCUCGGAGAGGGGCUCGGUGAAAUAGACUUGUCUGUGAAGAUGCGGACUACCUGCACCAGGACAGAAAGACCCUAUGAAGCUUUACUGUAACUUGAAAUUGAAAUUGGACUUUAUUCGCGCAGUAUAGGUGGGAGGCGUUGAUUGUAAUCUUGCGGGAUUAUUGGAGCCAUCAGUGAGAUACCACCCUUGUAAUGUUAGAUUUCUAACUUUGAAUCAUUAUCUGGUCAAAGAACAGUUUCAGGCGGGCAGUUUGACUGGGGCGGUCGCCUCCUAAACGGUAACGGAGGCGUACAAAGGUUUCCUCUGAACGGUUAGAAAUCGUAUCUAGAGUGUAAAGGCAUAAGGAAGCUUGACUGUGAGACCUACAAGUCGAGCAGGGACGAAAGUCGGUCUUAGUGAUCUGACGGUACUGAGUGGAAAGGCCGUCACUCAACGGAUAAAAGUUACUCUAGGAUAACAGGCUGAUCUCCCCCAAGAGUUCACAUCGACGGGGAGGUUUGGCACCUGAUGUCGGCUCAUCGCAUCCUGGGGCGGUAGUACGUCCCAAGGGUUGGGCUGUUCGCCCAUGAAAGCGGUACGCGAGCUGGGUUCAGAACGUCGUGAGACAGUUCGGUCCAUAUCCGGUGUAGGCGUUAGAAUAUUGAGAGGAGCCUUCUUUAGUACGAGAGGACCGAGAAGGACAUACCUCUGGUGUACCAGUUAUCGUGCCAACGGUAAACGCUGGGUAGCUAUGUAUGGAGUGGAUAACCGCUGAAAGCAUCUAAGUGGGAAGCCCACCUCAAGAUAAGUAUUCUCACC
rnacentral:rRNA from 1 species